UCGUCAGCUCGUGUCGUGAGAUGUUGGGUUAAGUCCCGCACCGAGCGCAACCCUUGUCCCUAGUUGCUACGCAAGAGCACUCUAGGGAGACUGCCGGUGACAAACCGGAGGAAGGUGGGGAUGACGUCAAGUCCUCAUGGCCCUUAUGGGUAGGGCUUCACACGUCAUACAAUGGUCGGAACAGAGGGUCGCCAACCCGCGAGGGGGAGCCAAUCCCAGAAAACCGAUCGUAGUCCGGAUCGCACUCUGCAACUCGAGUGCGUGAAGCUGGAAUCGCUAGUAAUCGCGGAUCAGCAUGCCGCGGUGAAUACGUUCCCGGGUCUUGUACACACCGCCCGUCACACCAUGGGAGUGGGUUUUACCAGAAGUGGCUAGUCUAACCGCAAGGAGGACGGUCACCUACUCUCUUGCUAUGUGAUGUCAUGACUGGGGUGAAGUCGUAACAAGGUAACCGUA
rnacentral:rRNA from 1 species